AUGGCUUGGGAUGAUAUUCACAAUUUUCACAAAAAGGGUACUCACCCAUGGGUGAUCCUAGGAGAUUUUAAUGAAAUCCUAUACGCUUCUGAAAAACAGGGCGGUAAUAUGAGACCAAAUGCAAUGAUGAAAGGCUUCUGAGAAUGCCUAAUGGAGUGUGGGUUAGAGGACAUGGUAUUUUUGGGUGAUCCAUUUACUUGGAGGAGAGGCAAUAUUAGGGAAAGACUCAACUGGGCGGUUUGUAAUGUUGAAUGGGCUCUUAAAUUUCCCCGUGCCGCAAUUAUAAACGAGGAACAUGUACACUCUAAUCAUCUCCCAUUAAUUUUGGAUAUGGAUUACUUAUUUUUAGCUGUUCGAAGGGUCGUGCAAAACAAUUUGAAGCUAGAUGGCUCAAGGAAGAAACAAUCGAGGAAAUUGUCAGGUGCCCCUAGGAAAAUGCAAAAUUGGCGGCCAUUGGGCCAACUCUUGUGGAGCGUACAAGAUUCGUGCAUGCGGACUUACAAGCUUGGGAUCAUGACACUCUGA
rnacentral:rRNA from 1 species